UACAGGGGGAUAACGGUUAGAAAUGACUGCUAAUACCGCAUAAGCGCACAGUACCGCAUGGUACGGUGUGAAAAACUCCGGUGGUAUGAGAUGGACCCGCGUCUGAUUAGCUAGUUGGUGAGGUAACGGCCCACCAAGGCGACGAUCAGUAGCCGACCUGAGAGGGUGACCGGCCACAUUGGGACUGAGACACGGCCCAGACUCCUACGGGAGGCAGCAGUGGGGGAUAUUGCACAAUGGAGGAAACUCUGAUGCAGCGACGCCGCGUGAGUGAAGAAGUAUUUCGGUAUGUAAAGCUCUAUCAGCAGGGAAGAAAAUGACGGU
rnacentral:rRNA from 1 species